UACGUAGGGGGCGAGCGUUGUCCGGAUUUAUUGGGCGUAAAGAGCGUGUAGGCGGCCAGACAGGUCCGUUGUGAAAACUCGAGGCUCAACCUCGAGACGUCGAUGGAAACCGUCUGGCUAGAGUCCGGAAGAGGAGUGUGGAAUUCCUGGUGUAGCGGUGAAAUGCGCAGAUAUCAGGAAGAACACCUAUGGCGAAGGCAGCACUCUGGGACGGUACUGACGCUGAGACGCGAAAGCGUGGGGAGCAAACAGG
rnacentral:rRNA from 1 species